GCGUAACUUCAAGUUGUCCAAAUCACACACAGAACCACGCGAGAAUCGAGAUGUCAAAACGCGAGGUUGUCGCCAAGAUGGCCGCUCGUACAGAGACAGUGACUGAUGUAGGUGAAUCUCCUCCCACAACUGGAAAAGAAACAGCAACUUUAAAGCCAUUACAUCAACAUUUCUCAUGAUUGGGACUGAUGUAGGUGAAGCUCCUCCCACAACUGGAAAAGAAACAGCAACUUUAAAGCCAUUACAUCAACAUUUCUCAUGAUUGGGACUGAUGUAGGUGAAGCUCCUCCCACAACUGGAAAAGAAACAGCAACUUUAAAGCCAUUACAUCAACAUUUCUCAUGAUUGGGACUGAUGUAGGUGAAGCUCCUCCCACAACUGGAAAAGAAACAGCAACUUUAAAGCCAUUACAUCAACAUUUCUCAUCAUUGGGGUGAAGCUCCUCCCACAACUGGAUCAGAAACAGCAACAUUUCAUCAACAUUUCUCAUCAACACCUGUUUUUUUUAUCGUAGAAUUUAUGGUCUUUGCACGAUGUAUUUCUUGGGAGAAUUCAACAGUGAUGAGUUUGUUGGACAAUGGAAUUACCACAGCCUGAGAACAGAGGGUGCCGUGAGUGCACUGGCGUUACGAAAUUCUGGCAUGAUAAUUGAGAUAAUUGAUAAUUGAUUAAAAUGUCAAAUAAUGCUGGCAUGAUAAUUGAGAUAAUUGAUAAAAAAAUGUCAAAUAAUGCUUAAAACACAUCAGAAAUAACUGCAUUUAUAAAGGAAAUGUCAGCACUUACCCUGGAAGCUGUUGAGUAAACAUUCCCAGGAAAAGAUGUUCUCUUCUUCAGCCUCUCUGUUGUUACUACCCUCUUGACUCCACUUUACAACAAGGUCUUUAAAAUUCACGCCUUGACAGUGGCUUCUGCGUGUUGGUGAACAGAGGCUUGAAGGCCUUCCAGUUGUUCUCCACUUUCUGCCAAAGUGACCCACAUGAAUUGAUCCCUGCUUUAAACUGUAAGAUCAUGCUGGCAGGCCUAUGAUCAAAUACAAAUUAACCAUUGGCUAAUAAAGAAACAUCAGGUAAUUUAGGUAUUUCUAAAUACAAAAGGAAAUAAUGUGUCAACAGAAAUGUAUCUGUAUUGUUAGCUAUUCCUACCACUAUUAUCUCUUCUUCGUGGACGUUGCUCGGUGGCUUUGGUCAGGGUCACUGAGUGCAGCUAUGACACGUCAGAGGAGAUCUGGGCCCAGUUGCAUAAAGCACCUUAAAUUUUUCCCUUAAGUAUGACACUUAAGGGGUGAUUUUCCUUUACCAAAGACAAUAGGAGAAUAACUUAAGUAAAACUUAAGGACACACUUAAUGGAAAAUUACACUUAAGGUGCUUUAUGCAACCGGGCCCUGGCCCUCCCGGCUGAGCCUGGUUUCUCCCAAGUUUUUUUUUUCUCCAUUAAUUCAUCAUUGGAAGCUUUGGAACAAUGCACAUUGUGAAAAGCGCUAUAUAAAUAAAAUUGAAUUGAACUAUGGAAUAAAUAUUUUCAUAAAAAGGUUUUAUGCAAGAUUUUAUGUUACAAAUGUGCUGCAUGACCUCUUGGACAUUAUAACUUUUUUUGAAAUUGGACACCACUUACAAUAUAGCCAUCAUUCAAGAGCUGCACUCUUGCCCAUAGAAAUAAUGAAUACCUAGACGCCUCAUUGUCCUCUGGAUCACACGUCAACGCCGAGCCAUAUUGGUGAGGGCAAAAGCCGACUACAAAGACGAGUGAAUGGUUGGGCUGCAGUUUUCUGUAUAAAAACACAACAUCGUUUUCAUUUCUCAACUAAUUUCAAUACUUUUCUAUUUACGUGGAGUACAGAAAUGUUUUGGCUCCAGUUAAAGAUGGUUAUAGACUUGAAAAUGUAUUUGUUGUCAUACGGAACUAUUAAAACUCAGGCUUGUCAAUCAAUCAUUUAAGGUACAUCAUGUUUUACUGCUGUAACGGUUUUACCGGAUUAAUUAAAAACAUCUUUUAUCUUUGAAAAUGUCUAAAUAAAUGACUACAGAAAAUCCAUUUCCACAGUGAAAAACGUUAGUUUUAUAUAAUAUGUAAAUGAAAUUAUAUUACCUUGUUUUUUUUCGAUGAUUCUAAUAAAACUCAGAAACCAUUUCUACGUGACUGUUGGGACAACAGAAGUAUCAGGGGAGGUCAAAAGACACUUCUCUACAAAAAGGACCACCUGCAUUUCUACGGCUCCUAAAAUAUAAAGAUUGAAGUUUGUAUUUUUCUCUCAUGCUGUAAUAUAUAGGACCUAAUCCAGAUGUUAACGUUGCAUUUUGUUGUCUUCUGAUAAUAUAUAUUUACAUGAAUGAUUUAUAUAUUUUAUUUCCUUCUCCUCGUGUUAAUGGUGCCACGUGAAGCCUCACCACGAAAGUUCCGUGUGAAUUGGAAUGCUGGUCUCAAUUGUGUUGCUGAUCUCGUUAAUUUGAGG